AAAUAAUGCAACACUAUGCAUGCGGCGUCUAAAAUAGUGUUUAGAAAAAGAAAAGUCAUAAACCCUAGAUAUGAAAGCGGGAAACAUCACCACCUUGCAACGUCUUGCUCCGCUUGUGCUCCGGUGAGAGUUUAUAGUUUUAUUCUAAAAUUGCUAUAUCUUGUUCCCAAUGUAAAAAACUGCCUCUUACCAUGGAUUUGAUACCUUUGAUUUUGCUAAAAUUUUCAAUUAGGUCAAUUUUUAUGAAAGUAAUAAUAUUUAGAAAACAAAUAAAUGUUCUGAGUAUUAAUUUGAUUGACUCACAUUGUUGUAGUUGAGCAUUGUUUUAUGCAACAAGUGAUGCACCUUCUUAAAAGGUUACCUAUUUACUCUGAUGAUUGUAAUCCAUAAUGCUCAAAAUUUGUUACUCAUAUGGACCUGGUUUGGUAAUUUUGUUGAUUCUAACUGCCUUUUGAGCUUCUUUGUUUUGUAUUAAUCAUAAUCAUAUAUCUAAUUAUCGAUAUCUUUAUGUGGCCACGUGUUUAGAUUCAGAGUCAUUUCAAAUCGUUGAGAGACCCUGUGUAAGAAGCUGAAGUUAACUUCAGUUGAGUCUUGAAUAUUUUUAAAGGUUCCUAUUUAACGUGGAAUAUGUUAAUGGAGACUCUUUUUACCAUAGUUUAAUCAUGAAAAAGUGUUGGGCCCUUUGUUGCAGGUCGUGGCACUUUCUCAAAGACAGCCCGGUUCAUAAUGUGAUAAUGAUGGUGAUCAUGAAGUAGUACCAUGUUUACAUAAAUAUCCAAGAAUAACCCUUUUCACUGAUCGUUCAAGAAUGGCAGAGAAGUUUGUUGUUGAUCUGAUAGAAAGUGCUCGAUAAAUUAGACAAAGCUGGAUUUGAAUGCAAAACAUUGGGCCUUAUAUCCAUCAGGUUUCUUACAAUAUUUUGUAGAUUGCGUAAUAUCAUUGACUUAUAUCGUAAACUUCAUUAAUGGUUGAUGCUCCCAAUAACUGUGGUGAAGUUGUAACUUGCGUUAAAUUACUGUGUCCUGAUUAACUCUGGGGUUUUAAUUUUUCCUGUUCAGAACAUUUCUUACAGAAGAAAGCUAGCAGUUUUAUGAUGAUUGAACUCGAUCUUACUUAAAGUAUGUCUGUUCAGUCCCCGUAAUGUAUAUUGAUCUAGGAUUUAACAUUUAAAUUUGUUAUGGUGGCCCUCCUGAGCUUUAUAAUUUUUCUCUUUAACGCAGUGAAAAUCAAUAUUAUAUGAGUGAAUAAAUUAUAUUGUAACUGUUAUAACCCAGAUGAAAUAGUUUGAAACUUUGAAUGAUCUUAUCUUUUAUGGCACAAUAGGGAUAAGCAGUAUUGUCAACACACUCUACAGGGUCGCUACAGCAGUGUAGCGGCAGCCCCUGGCCACUUUCAGAAGUGGAGCACUUGGUGUCGUAGCCGCAGAAGCUGCUUUAGCGGUCAAAACAGCGGCUUGUUGCGACCUCAAUAGUGCCACACCUGGUGUACUGCACUGCAGUGUUACCAAGAUCCACCAUGACUGUUAUACAUGGCGGUUUUUGGGCUCGCCGCAAUGGUAAAUGUUGGUCGAUAUUGCAGGUUUUUCCGCUAUAACGGCGGCCCAAAGUGGCCAAUAUUGCGGGAUUUUGACUCUCCACCACGGAGUGCUAUCCGUCAUUGACAACAACACUGCUGCACGGUAAGGUGAAGCAGAAUACCAUAGGGAAGACUCGAAUGGACCGUGUUUAGUCUCACAACAAAUGGAAGCUUGCUUGAACGAAACAUUCAAGAACAAAAUCCCUAUAAUUAAAAGGACAAUUUAAAUCAACCUUUUGCGCUAAACCUUGUGUAUUUCUAGGUUAUUACUACUACAAAAGCAGUCAAUUGUCAUUUUGCUGGAUGCUUUGCAAAGAAUGCAGUCACACUUAGCUGCAGUUUCAAAUGGUGCCUUUUUUACAGGU